UGGCGGCAGGCCUAACACAUGCAAGUCGAGCGAGACCUUCGGGUCUAGCGGCGGACGGGUUAGUAACGCGUGGGAACGUACCCUUCUCUAAGGAAUAGCCACUGGAAACGGUGAGUAAUACCUUAUACGCCCUUCGGGGGAAAGAUUUAUCGGAGAAGGAUCGGCCCGCGUAAGAUUAGAUAGUUGGUGGGGUAAUGGCCUACCAAGUCUACGAUCUUUAGCUGGUUUUAGAGGAUGAUCAGCAACACUGGGACUGAGACACGGCCCAGACUCCUACGGGAGGCAGCAGUGGGGAAUCUUAGACAAUGGGCGCAAGCCUGAUCUAGCCAUGCCGCGUGUGUGACGAAGGCCUUAGGGUCGUAAAGCACUUUCGCCUGUGAUGAUAAUGACAGUAGCAGGUAAAGAAACCCCGGCUAACUCCGUGCCAGCAGCCGCGGUAAUACGGAGGGGGUUAGCGUUGUUCGGAAUUACUGGGCGUAAAGCGCACGUAUGCGGAUUGGAAAGUAUGGGGUGAAAUCCCAGGGCUCAACCCUGGAACUGCCUCAUAAACUUCCAGUCUAGAGUUCCAGAGAGGUGAGUGGAAUUCCGAGUGUAGAGGUGAAAUUCGUAGAUAUU
rnacentral:rRNA from 1 species